CGUAAUAAUAGAAACUAACCAGGAUUCCCUUAGUAACGGCGAGUGAACUGGGAUACCCAAUAUACCAUCUGUGCGUACCUCGGUGCGUACAAAUUUUAGCCCGUCGAUACUAUCAGCUAGCAUAGUACUGGCUUCGGCCGGUAACCUAUCUAUGCGCGAAUUGUAGCAUCGUACAAAAAUAUAUUAUACAACGUAUAUAUACGCAACCCACACUUAUAUAUAUUUUUAUGCGUACACUUACUUUCAUAAACACACAGCGCUCUCGCGUUGGAAAGCAAGUUUAUAUCCUUUUUUGGAUACGCCGUAGAGUGUAACAGCCACGUUUCAACUCUACGUACGUACGUAUACACACGCGUUAUAUACAUACACUGUAUUUUAUAUAUAACCUGAGUCGAGUUAUUU
rnacentral:rRNA from 1 species